ensembl:miRNA
UAGGAUUUGGAAAGAUUGCUUUGAAUUUGUAGAUCAACGCAAUUCUUCAAAAUCUUAGC